UCAACAGGUCCAGUGAUUCGAGCAAAUCGUCUCAUAACGUCAUAGAGCUCCUGCACUCCCUUUGGGUAGCAACGCUCCAGUACUGCAAAACCACAAGGGAGAGGGAGAAAAGCAGAGAACAUGAUUCCAGUGACAAAGUGGCAAGAAAAGAAAGAAGAUAGAAGAAAAGAGGAAUGUACCUGACCUCUGAACCCUGACACUUGGUCACACUGAAGCAAAAGGGCUAACGUCCUGUUAGCACACACCCAGUGCUUCCUGUAUGGACUGAGCGACUUCCUGUAGAACUUCCUGUGUUGAAUCUCUCAGCACAGCUGCUUAUCUGUGUAGCACACGAUGACAAAACCAUGGACCUGCACGCGCACGCAAACAAAUAGAGACCGUUGUGGGACUUGAGUGAUGAGAGUGGUGCUGCUCCUGUAUCUGGUGACAUGUUGGUUGUGUGUUGAAAGAGCUCCAUUGGCUUUUGAGGGUCAUCCAGGACCACCACAGCCUGGCACAUUCUUCCACUCUGUGUAUGAAACUCAGAGGAUAAGAUGGUCACAAUAAGACUAUUUUAUUUCAGCAUUAUUAUUACCUUCACCAAGUACAUAGCGUAAUAAAAAUGCCAUUUGUCAGUUUGUUAUUGAGCAAAAUUGCUUAUAAAAAUGCUUUGAUGGAUACUGAUAAACAAAAAUUGGACUUCU